rnacentral:tRNA from 1 species
GCGCAGAUGGUGUAAUCGGUAACACUGUAGUCUCCAAAACUACUAUUCGGGGUUCGAGUCCUCGUCUGCGCGCCA